rnacentral:tRNA from 1 species
GGCUAUCUAGUUUAUAUUAAAAUACGGGCCUUGUAACCCCGGGAAAGUUUUACUGUUAGCCU